AUAAAUCCUAUGAACAGACAAGUAACUUAUAGCAAAAAACUACAGAGAGCUGAUGGUUGGUGCAAAUCAGUGUGAUGUUAUAGUGAACAUCAUCUGGGAGGAUUUUGACUGAAAAGUAAUUAUACUUAGUAAGUCAAAACGGCUUUUCCUCGUUAUUGGAAAAUACAUUUGUAUAUUCUAGUUAUCAAUUAAUUGUUAUAAAUGUAUUCUGAGUGUUGCUAUUAUUAGCAAAAUUUGGGUGGUACCACGGAUUUAAAAAGUUCGUCCCUUAG
rfam:Megamonas hypermegale ART12/1 draft genome.